GGCUCAGGACGAACGCUGGCGGCGUGCCUAACACAUGCAAGUCGAGCGAGGAGAUCCUCGGGAUGAUCCUAGCGGCGGACGGGUGAGUAACACGUGGGCAACCUGCCUCAUAGAGAGGAAUAGCCUUCCGAAAGGGAGAUUAAUACCUCAUAACAUUGCAGUUUCGCAUGGAACAGCAAUUAAAGGAGCAAUCCGCUAUGAGAUGGGCCCGCGGCGCAUUAGCUAGUUGGUGAGGUAACGGCUCACCAAGGCGACGAUGCGUAGCCGACCUGAGAGGGUGAUCGGCCACAUUGGGACUGAGACACGGCCCAGACUCCUACGGGAGGCAGCAGUGGGGAAUAUUGCACAAUGGGGGAAACCCUGAUGCAAGCAACGCCGCGUGAGUGAUGACGGCCUUCGGGUUGUAAAGCUCUGUCUUCAGGGACGAUAAUGACGGUACCUGAGGAGGAAGCCACGGCUAACUACGUGCCAGCCGCUGC
rnacentral:rRNA from 1 species